UCACAAGAUUGAUGUGAAAACUUUUUCUGAUAAAAGGUAGAGUUGAAUUGAAUCACUAACCUAAGAGGCAUGCUACCUGCAGGCAUGCAUCUGCAGACACCCAAUAUUACAAGUGUCUCAUGAAAAGUUGAAACACGUACUGAUGAUCCAAGCCCUAAAUCACACUAGUCUCAUGAUGAAUGUGUCUUCACCUAGGAUCGUAUAUCUAUUCAUCAGGUGAACCACACUUGUAUUGAGAAAAUGGAUAGUUAAAAGAUGGACAACCAAUGGUACAUGGUUGGCCCACCUAUUCACCUUAUUAGUGGAUUGACCAUAUUUUAAACUAUGAAACUUUCACCAAGGCUUGGACCUGAUGAAUGGAUUGGAUCUCAUACACGUAUCCCAUACUGACACAUGUGAGGGGCCUUCUGUUUGUACUCUGCAGAAGUAUAGAUACAGGAAGCAUUCAUCUUAACUCCAUCAAAUGAAAUUUUUCUAUACAUUGUCUAAUAUUUUCAAUUUUCUAUCUACUUUAUUUAUAUACUAUCUCCACUACAGCCAAAGAAUUGGGUUAUGUUCAUAGGAAUGUAUCAACUUGUAACCGUAACAUUCUCUAGAAGUUCAGUUAACAGUUAUAGCAUCACUGCAUUAUGUGCAGGAAUUGCAAAAUCAGCUACAGCUGUUGCAAGAAAUGCUCACUGAAGUGAAGUAUAGAUUGAGGUGCUGUUGUUAUCUAUAGCUGGAGUUUCUAAGAGUUAAAAGUUGUUUUGUAUUGCAUGCAUACAUGCACACACAUGUAGCCUAAAUAUUUGUGUGAACAUGAAGUGUUAUAUUUAUUCACAGAAUAAUGGAAAUUCACAGAGUAUUAUAUUUUUUCUUUUAUUUGUUUUGUCAGUUGUUGGUCCGUACCAGGAAAUGUCCAUAAUGCACUCCAAAUCAGAGUAAUGGAAGAAUCUCUAAUGAAAUCUCUUGAUUCACAUCGAGAACACUAGGGGCAUCAUUGUCUACAGUUACCUAAUCAUGGCAACGUACGGAAGCUUAAGUGAAGAUAUCAACUGUUAUCGACUUUCUGAUGGCUCAAUGAGAUGCCGCAUACUUGGUGGAAUUUUCAGAUACAGGUCCAACCUCAAACUCCAAUUCCCCAUUGACAACCGGGAUGCAAUUUUGCUCCUUCCAACAAAUACCGUUCUAUGAAUGGAUCUGACCAAACUUCCAUUCAAUACAACAGCUUGGAUUAGAGAAGCUGGACCUGGUGCCUCUCAUCCAUGUUCAAGUCUAUGAGGGAAAAGGGGGAUACAAGUCGAAGUAAAGGUUGUCUUCUCUGCAAUUGAGGGCCUAUGACUCAGUUCAUUCAUAGAUGAGGCCCACUUGACUGCAUUGUCAAAUGAUCAAGACCAGCACCCAUCUGCUUGCCCCUACCGUUGGGGAUGAUUGUACAGAAGACACACUGAUGGGAGAAUCUGAGCUGCCUAAUUAAGCUGCAUAGUCAGAUAAUGAAGGCCACACGUCUGCUCAAAUCUAUCGCUUGUGGGUGAUUGUACAAAAACCAUGCGGAUAGGAGAAUCCUACCUGUCUGAUUUUCUCUACUGAGUGUAGACUAUUUUGCUGAAUUUUUUCAUCACCUGUUUGCUUGAAGGCUAGCUGUUACUCAGAAAGAUAGGAUUGUCUGAUUGAUGUGAUAUUUAUACAGUUGCCUGUCAACCAUAGGGCUUAUAAGAUUGACAUACCAGAUAAUACACCCAUGAGCCGUGCAGGCCCAGUCAAGCAGUGGACCCUUAGAUAUAAGGGCAAGCUCCAAAUUGAAAAUGAGUCAAUAGGUCUCUUGUUUGUCAAAGGUGGGCAAUUUUGUCUUCAAAAGGGAUUCUUCAAAUUGAGCAUUGAUGUUCCUCAUCGCUUGUGCAUUCAUCAGCUAGCUAGGCUUCAUAAAUAGCUUUUGGGAAGGAAUGGUCACUUUACUAGCUGUUUGUAGCUUUAUACAUGUGUUCAGUUAGAAAGCCAAUGUAUGUAAAACAGAUCUGCAGUCUAACUGUUAUGCUUAUUAAUUACAAGUAAUCAAACAGGUUUUAUGUGUGAUAUUUAUGUUAAGGAAUUGAUCAGCCAUUGAUAUUUCUGAAUAGGUUUUGGGAAGCAACGGUCACUUUACUAGCUGUUUGUAGCUCUAUCCUUGUAUUGAAUUAGCAAGCCAAUGGAUAGAUGAAUGUUUGUGUAGAGGUAGAAAGAGAGGCAGUAUUUAUUUUAUAAU